UACGUAGGGUGCAAGCGUUAUCCGGAAUUAUUGGGCGUAAAGAGCUCGUAGGCGGUUUGUCGCGUCUGCUGUGAAAACUGGGGGCUCAACCCCCAGCCUGCAGUGGGUACGGGCAGACUAGAGUGCGGUAGGGGAGAUUGGAAUUCCUGGUGUAGCGGUGGAAUGCGCAGAUAUCAGGAGGAACACCGAUGGCGAAGGCGGGUCUCUGGGCAGUAACUGACGCUGAGGAGCGAAAGCGUGGGGAGCGAACAGG
rnacentral:rRNA from 1 species